rnacentral:rRNA from 1 species
AAUAUUGCAUGUAAUGUAGGUUUAGCGGUUCUCGAGCCAUCAAUGAUUGAUGAACCGGCAAAUCCGUUUGCAACUCCUGAAAUAUUAUCCGAGUGGUACUUCUUUCCCGUGUUUCAAAUACUUCGUACGCUACCCAAUAAGUUAUUGGGCGUUCUUUUAAUGGUUUAUGUGCCAAUAGGCUUAUUGACAGUACCUUUUCUAGAGAAUGUCAAUAAAUUUCAAAAUCCAUUUCGCCGCCCAGUAGCUACGACCGUAUGUUAG